AGGAGAAGUCGUAACAAGGUUUCCGUAGGUGAACCUGCGGAAGGAUCAUUGUCGUGACCCUGACCAAAACAGACCGCGCACGCGUCAUCCAACCCGUCGGUGACGGCACUGUCCGUCGCUCGGCCAAUGCCUCGACCACCUCCCCUCCUCGGAGCGGGUGGGGGCUCGGGGUAAAAGAACCCACGGCGCCGAAGGCGUCAAGGAACACUGUGCCUAACCCGGGGGCAUGGCUAGCUUGCUAGCCGUCCCUUGUGUUGCAAAGCUAUUUAAUCCACACGACUCUCGGCAACGGAUAUCUCGGCCCUCGCAUCGAUGAAGAACGUAGCGAAAUGCGAUACCUGGUGUGAAUUGCAGAAUCCCGCGAACCAUCGAGUCUUUGAACGCAAGUUGCGCCCGAGGCCACUCGGCCGAGGGCACGCCUGCCUGGGCGUCACGCCAAAACACGCUCCCAACCACCCUCAUCGGGAAUCGGGACGCGGCAUCUGGUCCCUCGUCUCGCAAGGGGCGGUGGACCGAAGAUCGGGCUGCCGGUGUACCGCGCCGGACACAGCGCAUGGUGGGCGUCCUCGCUUUAUCAACGCAGUGCAUCCGACGCGCAGCCGACAUUAUGGCCUCAGAACGACCCAGCAAACGAAGCGCACGUUGCUUCGACCGCGACCCCAGGUCAGGCGGGACUACCCGCUGAGUU
rnacentral:rRNA from 1 species